rnacentral:rRNA from 1 species
AUGGAGCGGCCUGUGUCCUUUGAGGCGAUGGCGAAGCCACCGACGACGGAAGACGACGACCUGCUGCCCACCUACUGGUCCUGGAAAAGCAUGCCGACGCCCUUCACCAAGGACGAGAUGAUCUUCUCCUACGCGCUGCACCCGGACGGGCGCACCAUAUUCGUGUCCUCGUGGAGCAGGGCGGUCUGCGGCACGUACUCCGUCGACACCAGGAGCUGCAAGUGGAGGCGCCAUGGGGAGUGGAUGCUGCCUUUCAGAGGCCGAGGCUACUUCGCCGCCGAGCUAGACGCAUGGGUCGGGCUGCACGAGGACGGCUACGUCUGCCCCUGCCAGGUUGCCUCCCGCAGUGGCGGCACCACGUAG